AGCAAUAAUCAAUUCUUCUCUUUGGUCUCAUGUACACAUCCUGCAUCUUACACAGAAUAUGAGACUUCUAAUGCCAUCAUUGUCACAAGAAGAACGACAAGAACUAUCACAAUUUAGCAAGUGGAUGCUCGAUGUUGGGGAAGGCAAAAUAGACGCUACAUCACAAGAAGGUGAAGAUGAGCCAACAUGGAUAGAAAUUCCACAAGAUUUGCUCCUAAUGCCUCAAGGUAUUCACAGGUCAAAAAAUGUGCUUAUUCCCCGUAUAUCAUUAACACUGAAGAAUACAAAAUGGCCAUUCGUUCUUCAAAGACGCCAAUACCCUAUAAAGAUGACUCAGGCAAAUGCAGUUCUAAGACCCGAAACAUAGUAUACAAAGAGGUUUUCGCACGUAUUGCUGAGCAAAGCUCCGAUCAAUAGCAAGACGUGUUCCUAAUGUUAUAUAUGUACAU